rnacentral:rRNA from 1 species
UACGGAGGGUGCAAGCGUUGUUCGGAAUCAUUGGGCGUAAAGGGCGCGUAGGUGGGUUUGUAAGUCGAUUGUGAAAUCCCUGGGCUUAACCCGGGACGUGCAGUCGAUACUGCUAAUCUUGAGUGCUUGAGAGGGUGGUGGAAUUCCAGGUGUAGUAGUGAAAUACGUAGAUAUCUGGAGGAACAUCGGAGGCGAAGGCGGCCACCUGGCGAGACACUGACACUAAAGCGCGAAAGCGUGGGGAUCAAACAGG